rnacentral:rRNA from 1 species
UUUUUCUACAGCAGCACAUUGAAUGCCCCGGUUUCCCAUGAAUCACUGACAUUAAGCAACGUAGCCCGUGAUUUGUAUCAGAAUGGGUGACCAUUUUGACAAUCGCAUGCUGCAACUU